rnacentral:lncRNA from 1 species
GACACUAGCUCCAAGAUCGCAUAGACACCGCUCAAACACCAUGGGUCCUAGAGCACAAGGUGAGGUGAAACAUCCAGGAUCCACUAGCUUCCUUGGAACAUCUAACCUCUGGAUAAUGGCACUGCACUCGUGGGUAAGGAUCAUCAUGCCUUCCAUUUCUUUCUUCUUUGCAGCUACAACAUCUUUCAAGAAUUUGCUGUACUGAGGAACCAACAUAAAAGCAUCAAUAAUGGGCAUUGUGACCUGAACUUCACUCAUUUGUUUCUCAAAGAGUGCCUUGUACUUCUCCAAUAGCUGUCUUUUGAAUCUCCCAGGGAAUGGUAGCUUUGGCUCAUAGGGAGGAGGAACAAAAGAGGAUUCCUUUGUUGGAGUAGCAGUUUCACCAUGUUUCACUGUCCUCUUCUCUUCUCCAACCUUUCCUUUAUCCUUAGCUUCAACAAUCUUUUCUAGAAUUUCUUCAUCAACCUUCUCAUCUACAAUCACCACUUCACCAUCAAUGUUGAUAGCCACCU